ACGGGGUGCAGCAGGCGCGAAAACUUUACAAUGCUGGCAACAGCGAUAAGGGAACCUCGAGUGCCAGGUUACAAAUCUGGCUGUCGUGAUGCCUAAAAAGCAUUGCAUAGCAAGGGCCGGGCAAGACCGGUGCCAGCCGCCGCGGUAAUC
rnacentral:rRNA from 1 species